CCUACGGGUGGCUGCAGUGGGGAAUAUUGCACAAUGGGCGCAAGCCUGAUGCAGCCAUGCCGCGUGUGUGAAGAAGGCCUUCGGGUUGUAAAGCACUUUCAGCGGGGAGGAAGGCGGUGAGGUUAAUAACCUCAUCGAUUGACGUUACCCGCAGAAGAAGCACCGGCUAACUCCGUGCCAGCAGCCGCGGUAAUACGGAGGGUGCAAGCGUUAAUCGGAAUUACUGGGCGUAAAGCGCACGCAGGCGGUCUGUCAAGUCGGAUGUGAAAUCCCCGGGCUCAACCUGGGAACUGCAUUCGAAACUGGCAGGCUGGAGUCUUGUGGAGGGGGGUAGAAUUCCAGGUGUAGCGGUGAAAUGCGUAGAGAUCUGGAGGAAUACCGGUGGCGAAGGCGGCCCCUGGACAAAGACUGACGCUCAGGUGCGAAAGCGUGGGGAGCAAACAGGAUUAGAUACCCCUGUAGUC
rnacentral:rRNA from 1 species